rnacentral:rRNA from 1 species
GGGGCUGCGGAAGGAUCAUUACAGAGUUCCUGCCCUCACGGGUAGAAACCCCACCCUUGUGUAUAUUAUAUUGUUGCUUUAGCAGGUCGCCCUCUGGGGCGUCGGCCUCGGCUGACUGUGCCUGCUAGAGGACCCUAAACUUUGAAAUACAGUGUCGUCUGAGUACUAUUUAAUAGUUAAAACUUUCAACAACGGAUCUCUUGGUUCUGGCAUCGAUGAAGAACGCAGCGAAAUGCGAUAAGUAAUGUGAAUUGCAGAAUUCAGUGAAUCAUCGAAUCUUUGAACGCACAUUGCGCCCCUUGGUAUUCCGGGGGGCAUGCCUGUUCGAGCGUCAUUUAGACCAACUCCCGCUCCGGCGGGGUCUUGGGCUGCGCCUUUGGGCGGGCCUUAAAACCAGUGGCGGUGCCCUAAGGCUCUACGCGUAGUAAUUCUUCUCGCGAUAGGGUCCUUGCGGUGUCUUGCCAGCAACCCCCAACUCUCUAGGGUUGACCUCGGAUCAGGUAGGGAUACCCGCUGAACUUAAGCAUAUCAA